GUGCUUGCUUUGGAAGCACAUAUGCUAAAAUUGGAAUGACACAGAAAAGAUUAGCAGGGCCCCUGUAAAAAAAAAAAAAGAAAGAAGAAGCAGUUAGUAUUUGU
ensembl:snRNA U6 U6 spliceosomal RNA